GCCCCCGGCCCGGCCGCGCUUCCGCCCGCGUCAGCUGAUCUGCCCGGCAGCGGCCCGGCCCGCGGAACCUCGGCGCGGGCGCCCGCAGCAUGGCAGGGGCCGUGGUGAGCGGAGCACAGGUGUCCUACAUUAGUCAGGACUGUGAAGAAAUUCCAGAAUUCCUAGGAAGAAAAUAUGGACACAUGGCAAAAAGGCUAGAUCUUAGCUUCAACUUGUUAAGGUAUGUGGCAGUAUAUAGAUUUUUAAGUGCAAUGUGGAAUUCCAACUCCUAAAAUACACUGUUUUUUUUUUUCAAAGUAGGAAAAUGUUUGUCAGGUACAUUUAAUUGUUGUCAAGUGGACAACACUAUUUUAUAAGUAAUGUUUAUCUCCUUUUCUCCCACACUUGAAGCACAAAUAACCAGGUGAGUCUGGCAAGCUAAUAUGUGUUAACAAAUGAUGCCCAUUGAUAAACUUAUGCUUUGUUCUCUACUUAAAUUGGAAAAUAAGCGUUGUUACCUGAAGAAGUGAAGAAUAGGAUCAAAAGUGAGUUUUCCUUAACCAAAAUACAAGUAAGUAUGUGCUUCUCUCCCUUUCUAAAAAUUUUAUUUAUAGAUUUCUGGUUAUUACUAUAAAUACUUUAUAAUGCUCUUUUCCCAGAUGAUGUGUUUUAUUCUAUAAUUUUAUUUUUGUGCAUCUGUGUAGUUAAGUGCUAAAGCUAAGUGCAGUUAGAAUUUUUAAUUCCUUCUAAGUAUUUUAAUAUAUGAAUUGGUUUAGGAUUCUGCAGUAUUGCUGUGAGCUACUACAGCAUCCCAUUUCAUUUAAUCCUUAUAAGAGAGCCUGCUGAGGUUCAGCAGAAUAUAUUUCAGGUUGAAAAAUGUGGGUAAGUAUGGAGAAAGUAUUUGAAUGCAAUUGUCUGUUUAAUAAAAAAAUAGGUUUGUGAGGGGAGGGUUGGACU
ensembl:lncRNA